GGAAACAUGGCCGAGUGGUCUAAGGCAGCGGUCUUGAAAACCGCCGGGGCCGUCAAAAGCUCCCCUGGGUUCGAAUCCUCAGUGUUUCCGCCA
rnacentral:tRNA from 1 species